rnacentral:rRNA from 1 species
GAAGGGCGCUGGCGGCGUGCCUAAUACAUGCAAGUCGAGCGCGGGAAGCUUGCGGAAUCUUUCGGGAGGAAGUGAGCGGACCGAGCGGCGGACGGGUGAGUAACACGUGGGCAACCUGCCCGUAAGACGGGGAUAACCCCGGGAAACCGGGGCUAAUACCGGAUAGGUGACCUUUCUGCAUGGAGGGGUCAUGAAAGGCGGCGGAAGCCGUCGCUUACGGAGGGGCCCGCGGCGCAUUAUCUAGUUGGUGAGGGAAGGGCUCACCAAGGCGACGAUGCGUAGCCGGCCUGAGAGGGUGAACGGCCACACUGGGACUGAGACACGGCCCAGACUCCUACGGGAGGCAGCAGUAGGGAAUCUUCCGCAAUGGACGGAAGUCUGACGGAGCAACGCCGCGUGAGUGAGGAAGGCCUUCGGGUCGUAAAGCUCUGUUGUUCGUGAAGAAGGGGUUGGCCAGGAAAUGGGCCGACAUUGACGGUAGCGAACCAGAAAGCCCCGGCUAACUACGUGCCAGCAGCCGCGGUAACACGUAGGGGGCAAGCGUUGUCCGGAAUGAUUGGGCGUAAAGGGCGCGCAGGCGGCCUCUUAAGUCUGAUGUGAAAGCCCACGGCUCAACCGUGGAGGGACAUUGGAAACUGGGGGGCUUGAGUGCAGGAGAGGGGAGUGGAAUUCCACGUGUAGCGGUGAAAUGCGUAGAGAUGUGGAGGAACACCAGUGGCGAAGGCGGCUCUCUGGCCUGUGACUGACGCUGAGGCGCGAAAGCGUGGGGAGCGAACAGGAUUAGAUACCCUGGUAGUCCACGCCGUAAACGAU